CCUCUCUUUCCUUCCCUCUCUUUCUUUCCUUCUUUCUCUUUCUUUCUUUCUUUCUUUCCUUCUUUCUCUUUCUUUCUUUCUUUCCUUCUUUCUCUUUCUUUCUUUCUUUCUUUCCUUCUUUCUCUUUCUUUCUUUCUUUCCUUCUUUCUCUUUCUUUCUUUCUUUCUUUCUUUCUUUCUUUCUUUCUUUCUUUCUUUCUUUCUUUCUUUCUUUCUUUCUUUCUUUCUUUCUUUCUUUCCUUCUUUCUCUUUCUUUCUUUCUUUCCUUCUUUCUCUUUCUUUCUUUCUUUCUUUCUUUCCUUCUUUCUCUUUCUUUCUUUCUUUCCUUCUUUCUCUUUCUUUCUUUCUUUCUUUCUUUCUUUCUUUCUUUCUUUCUUUCUUUCUUUCUUUCUUUCUUUCUUUCUUUCUUUCUUUCUUUCUUUCUUUCUUUCUUUCUUUCUUUCUUUCUUUCUUUCUUUCUUUCUUUCUUUCUUUCUUUCUUUCUUUCUCUUUAAAAUUAAAAGAAGCUGAAAAUCAUACAUUUGAGCCAUAGGGGUCGCAUCAGAUAUAUUUGUGUCUCUCUGGGGAAGGAGUCCUCUAGGGGGACCUGAAAUUCCAAAAUAUCUCCCAUCUGCAAGCAUCUGAACCCUGGCAGAAGGUGCCACCCCUUGAGAACAAGGAGGAGUUGCUAGGGCAGGACAGGGGAAAAAGUCACAGCAAGAAGCAGCCAUUUCAUGAGGACAGACAGUGCCAAAUGGUUCCU
rnacentral:lncRNA from 1 species